UACAGAGGGUGCAAACGUUGCUCGGAAUCAUUGGGCGUAAAGCGCACGUAGGCGGCCCAGCAAGCGGGGAGUGAAAGCCCUCGGCUUAACCGAGGAAGUGCUUUCCGAACUACUGGGCUUGAAUACUGGAGAGGGUCGCGGAAUUCCCGGUGUAGAGGUGAAAUUCGUAGAUAUCGGGAGGAACACCAGUGGCGAAGGCGGCGACCUGGACAGUUCCUGACACUGAGGCACGAAGGCCAGGGGAGCAAACGGG
rnacentral:rRNA from 1 species